UAUAUAUAACAUACAUAUAAAUGUAUAUAUUUAUAUUUAGGGUUAAUUUCAUACAGCUCCCUACAAAUAUAGUAAAUUACAAAUAUAUCCCUAUAAAGUUCAACUUUUAUAUGUUGUUUCCGCAAAAGUUCUGAUAUUUUCAAAUAUGUCCAUACUGUUAGGAUUCGUUAAAAAAACUUAAUUAACCAUAAAUAAAAUACUUAAUCCUGAUUAAUUAAUGAGGUAAAUUGAUCUUUUAUGUCUUUUUUAAUUAACAGUUGAAACUUUUGGAGGAACAUAUUUGUGAUGACAAAUAAAAAACAGUAACAAACUAGAAGGACAUAUUUAAAAAUAUUAGGACUUUUAUAGAAAUAACAUAUAAAAGUUGAACUUUAUAAAAAUAUAUAUAUACAAUUUACUAUAUUUAGCGGGACCUGUAUGAAAUUAAUCCUUAUAUAUUUAUAUGUGCAUGUGGUGACUAACUAGUAAAAGUAGACACAGUAUACGUGUGGUCUUUGUCUACUUGCCAAGUUGUGUUGUUACAGAUGAAAGCGUGCAUGACUCGUGAGACCUCUCUCUCUUUUUCUCACUACUUUUAAUACAAACAAAUCCAACAACAAUAAUAAUAAUAUUAUUAUAAUUAAAAAAUAAUAUGACAAAUAAUAAAAAUAAUAAUAUGAUCAGGAGAGUACUACUUUUUCACCCACACGAGGUGGACCAAGUUAAAACGCCUUUGCGUUGGGGUUAAGCUUGUGGCUUUGAGGUGGAAUAAAGGUGCUCCCUCUCACUCAGUUGUCUCAUUAAUUAAUUAAUUAAUUAAUAAAUGAAAAAAAAAAUCCUAAUUUGUAUUUCCAAAAAUAUGAGUAUUUUAAGUUUGAAUUUGAGCAUGAAAAAAUGAUUCUAGGAAAAGUGAGUAAAAUUAUUGAGGAGUGUGCGAAGGGGACAGGAGAUAGUGGAGGAGGGAGAGUACAAGGAAUCUAAGGCCAUAUUGCGAAGAUGACAUAGGAAAAUUCCAUUCUAUUUCCUUCAUAAGAUAUUCAUAUUCUCUUUUCUUUUUUCUUUUUUUAUCAUAAAAGCAUUAAAACAGAAAAUAUAUAUACGAAGAACCUUCUUUAGGGCACGUCUGGUUCCUCGAAAAAUCAUGAAAAACUAUUUAUGAAGAAAAAAAGAAUUCAUGAGGACGCGCGCUCUUUUUUACGGGUUUUGUGUUCCGAAUUAAUUAAAAUUUUGGAAGACAAAAAGGAAAUUGAAAUUUGAAAUGGCUCAUUCUCUAAUUUGUUAUUUUUUUUUUUAUUGGUAGUCUCUUCAUUUUUAAGCGAAAAAUUUACAAGAAUUAAUGAUAUAAUAUUUGAUAGUAACGCCGAUUGUUCUAAUUUUAUUUGCUAAAAAAGAUAUUUGAAGUUGUUAACUCGAGGGACACGGCGAUUUAAUUAAUUUGUUGAAAUUUUAUUUCUGAUAAACUUAGAUAGAGAUCAGAUGAAUUAUGUCACGUGUAUCGAUUGCAAGAAUAACAAUAAGAUAGCGGAAUGUACAUACAUUGAAGGAGGCUCAGGAUUGAGUCUAAUGCCAUACCAUCCAAAAAAUUGAUCUAAUAAAAAAUAAUCGAUAAAUAGUAAUUUUAAGAAAAAUUAAUAUUAAAAGUUGAGAUAUCUACUUCCAAGUGACGUAUAAUUUAGGGUGGUGUUUACAUCUUUUCCCGUAAGGGCUUUUACUUUUAUGCUCCUUCCUACUAUUGAAAAUUUUAAAAUUUACCCUUCAAUGUCCAAAAUAUUUUUUUUAAAUCAAAUCCCAUCAAUAAACUCUAGAAAAAAAAAUGGUAGAAAAAAUAUUUUGAAAUCAAUAAUGAUAUUUUAGUCAUCCAGAAGCAAAUAAAAUAUUUUUAAAAUUUUCAAGUGCAUAUUAAUUAGAUAUUUUUUCAUUUCCUUUAUAUUAUAUAUAUAUAUAUAUAUAUAUAUAUAUAUGAAGAUAAUAUGAUAUGAGAAAAGUUGAAUAUAUGGAUAUGAGUCCAUGUCCAAGCUUUAUUAAAAAGCCUUUUUGGGAGCAAUUGGUGGUGGUGCUUUCACUGCUCCCGAAAGACCAGAGGAAGUGCUUUCUUAUCUUUGCUUCCAUGCUUGCAAGUGGGAGGACUCAACCAUUUACUUUACACUUCUUCUUCUUUUCCAAGUCAUUUGUCUAAGUUGGAAUUUAAAUUUGAAUUGAAAUUUGAAACUUUUGAUUUGAAUUCGUUGUUUUGAAUGGUAUCAAAGUUGGGAUCCAUUAUGAAUCAUGCUUCUAAAAUACGCCCAUCUGGUCCACUCACUAAAGCGUCCCUGCAAUUUAGUACCACUACAACAGAAUUAGGUUAUAGGGACAUAUGUUCGGAACACUUUUGUGUAAAUGUCCUAUUUAUACCAAAAUUUUAAAAAAAAAUCUACUAAUGUCAAAAUAUAAAGCCCAAUCCAAUCAAAAAUAAAAUGUUACUCUACUCAACCCACCCCAUCCAGCCCAUUCGGCUCGAUUACAAGCAGAAAAGAAAAAAAAAGAAAAAUAGAUUACCAUCUCCCAUUCUCUGCUCCCUCAAUCCACUGAAAUCCUAGACGAAGAUCCCUUCCUCUCGUCCUCCUCCACCACCACAGCCCCUCCGCCACCGUAGCCAACGAGGUAGAGUUCCAGCGGUUGCUAAAUGCUUAAAUAAGUAUUGGUAAAUUAGCAGCACUCUUUUAGGUUAUAGCGACACUCUUUAACUGUCACUAUAUUCCUAGCGACCCCACAUAUAGCAACACUUUUUAAAAAUGUCGGUAAUUUAGCCAACAACACUUUUUUUUACCUAUACCUAUAUUUAAAAGUGUCGCUUAGACCGUUUUUGUUGUAGUGUACAUACCGGUGCUUCAAAAAGUGUUAUUAAUUAUAUGAGCCACUUAUCAUAUCAAACUAAUUUAUUAAAUGAUAAAUUUCACUAUUAUUUUUAUUUUUUAGACGCGUAGAAGUGCCAUAAUUUUAAAAAAUCCUACACUCAAAAGCCCCGGAAUAUAUUUUUCCGACACUUGACAUCAGCGUCGGUAUAUAUAUGUAAUGACUUUUCUUUUGCCAACACUUUAAAAAUGUGAUGGUAGGCUAUUUUAAAACGCUUUUAAGUAUCGAUAAAUAUUAAAAAAAAAAAAAAAACAUCCUUAACGUUAAUUUUAUCGUACUGAAUUAAGGUACACUCAUUUUUGUACAGCACUUGGUAUAAAUAGUCCAACUAUAACUUAUGCGUUGUGAGAAUUUUUCUUCUUUGAAUGUGAGCUAGAGUUUUGAUUUUGACUCUUCGAAGAUUUUAGCAUUUAUUAUUUGAUAGGAUAGUAUAUCUAACCCAUAAGAUGGUGAAUCCUAAUUAGUGCGCGUUUGAUCCUACUAUUUAUGUAGUGUAGUAUCAUUAGAUGAAGUGUCUUAUGUGCAAUAGUACUUCUUAAAGGAGUUUUAUAUUAAAACUCACUCAACAUAAUCAAAGCAUACAGUAAAAUAUUUUUUUGAAACAAGAUAACAUACUAUUCGAUUCAUAUAUUUUUUAAUAAUAAACUUAUCUAAAAAUAUAAAGUAACUAGAUUUUUUUUUUUUUUUUUGGCUAUUUGUAAGAUAUUAUUGAAGGUGAAGGGAAGCAUAAGCAAAAGAAGAACCAACGUAAGAACUGAAUUAUAAUUAGGGUAAACUUCAAAUACCACCCAUAUGAUUUCGUACUUUCUCAUUUUAGUAUUCUGUUGUUUAAAGUAUAUAUCAAGUUAGUGUCCUGUGAUUUUAUUUUAUCUUUUCGUCAGCUUUUUUCUUAAUAUUUCGUUAAAUUAUAUACAAAAAAAAACUUCAAAUAUCCCAUCUAGAUUUAUCGAAUAUUUAUUUUAGUACCCUUUAGUUUUAAUUUUUUCACUGAUUUAACGAAAAAAAUUAAUGGAAUCGGUAAUAAAAAGAUAAAAAUAAAAUCACAGAAUACUAAAUUAAUUUACUUUAAACUAUAGAGUACUAAAGUGAGAAAGUAUAAAAUCACAGGGGUGGCAUGUAAUUGAAGUUUUUUCUUAUAAUUACAAAGUACGUGGCUAAUUAGAUAGAUACCUGGCAAUUAAUGCCUCGGGGAACAUGUGUGGAGCAGUUUCCUUUCAGCAUGACAGCAGAGAAAUUGCUUGGAGCAUUCUAGUUUCGGACGCCAAAGAUUUCUGCUUCUGUUGGUAAAACGACAACUGAAAUUAUUACCCUCUGCAACGUCGUCAAUGAAUUACAUCAAUUCCCGAAUCGUCUUGUUGUACGUCAUUAUAAUGCAAUAGUCAUAUACUGUUAUAUGAGUCCGGCUACUAUACUCUUAUGAGUACGAUCGUCCUCGUACUUAUAAGCUGAUUUUGAUGAUAGAACUUUCGAAUCGACGAUCCAUACCGUUAAACAUUAUCUAGAGCAUUUAAAACUUCUAGAAAUUAAAUUUUAUAAUUUUUCGACAUUAUUUGCCUUACGAUCAAAAGGUCACAAAAUUGUCAAUUUUUAACGGCCGGUAUGAGAUACUUGUUAGUUUAACGGUGAAAAAGAAUCAAAAUAUGUUGAAUUUUUUAUAGAAAAUUCUAUUCACUAUCUAAAUAAAUAUCAAUUACUCUGAUCUUAAAUUUAAGAAUCCAAUUAUCUAUUUUUAGGAUGUCAUUCGAUUUUAACUGUUCAUUUUAUACUCACUUGAUGGACUUUAUAAUGAUUUCAAAAAUUUAUGAAAUUUAUUUUCUAGAAGUUUCAAAUACUCUAGAUCAUGUUUAACGGUGUAGAUCGUCGAUUCGAAAACUCCAAUAUUGAAAACAACUUAUGAGUAGUAAGGGUUCUAUACUCAUAAGAGUUUAGUAGCCCUACUCCUGUUACAUAUAUAUUUUGUUUGAGCGGAUCGAGUUAAUAAAAUGUGCCGUGUAGUUGGGGGUAAAUUAUUUAUCAGUUUUAUCACUUUUAACUAAGAUUAUGAGUGUUAUAAUAAAUGAAUCAAACUAACCCUUCAAUUAUACUUAAUCUAUGUCACUACAACAGAAAUAGAUUAUAGGGACACAUGUUUGUGACACUUUUGUGUAAGUGUUCCAUUUAUGUCAAAAUUUUAAAAAAAAUCUACUAAUGCCUAAAUAUAAAGCCCAAUCCAACCAAAAAUAAAAGAAUACUCUACUCAACCCAACCCACCCAACCCAUUCGGCCCGAUUAUAAACAAAAAGGAAAAAAAAAAAAGAAAAAUCGAUUACCAUAUCUCCUUCUCUCCUUACUCAAUUCACUGAAAUCCUAGCGAAGAGCCCUUCCCUCUCGUCUUCUUUUCCUACCGCAGCCAACGAGAUAGAAUUCCGGUGGUUGCUAAAUGUUUAAAUAAGCGUUGGUAAAUUAGCAGCACUUUUUUAGGUUAUAGUGACACUCUUUAACUGUCACUAUAUACCUAGCGACCCCACAUAUAGCAAUACUUUUUAAAAGUGUCGGUAAUUUAGCCAGCAGCACUUUUUUUGACCAAUACCGAUAUUUAAAAGUGUCGCUAUAGACCGUUUUUGUUGUAGCGUGUUAACAUAUCUUGUUUACUUGUAAUCAAACAGAAGAGAACAUAGGAUUUUCUUAAGAUUAGUUAUAGGUACUUGACCUAUAUAUUUUGGUAUUCGGCAAUUAAAAUUUGUUUUAGUACUAGAAAAAAGUCGACGGUAAUUUGUUGGAUUCGAUGAAAACUAAAAGGCUUUAUGGGAAUUAAUUCCACAUUAUUUUUCACCCCAAAUUGGAUGUUCUUUUUUCCAAAUAAUUGCAUCAAAACUAUGGUUUCAAGUGAUCGAUAGGACUAUUUGUCGAGAGAAUCAAUGAGGUACGGUGCACUACUUUUGUACAUUUCAUCGUAUCCUCAAUUCGUUAUUUACUAGUAAAAUUAUCGCUCGAGCAUAUAUAUCUGACCAUGUUACCAUACGAUAUUAAUUUCAUCCUUUCAUGUCAAAUUUUUUAGCAUUAUCUCUUAGUAUUAUUUCAUAGCUGAAAUCGAUCGCUAUAUUGUGACAAUCAAAUAGCAUUUAUUGAAAGUCAUGUCAGCGUAGACUUUGUUAUCCUUGGUGUUCAUCAAUCCUUUUCAUAUGAAUAUAUAAGAAUCAAGUUUUCUCCAUUCAUUUAAUUAGAUCACUCAAUCAUCAAAUAUCCUGUUUCUCCUUUUGCUUUUCUUUAAAUGAUUGAGAUUAAGUUAAUUAAUAAUGAAAAUAUUUCAGUGCUCUGCUAGUGCUAGAACUAACAGAUUGAGACUAUUUCAUGAAAGUUAUAAUUUAAAAAUUAUUACUAAUAAAACAGAUUCAUUGAAUCUAAUUAAUGCAAUACAUUAUAGGAGCCGAUAGCGAUAUUACUAAUUUUAAUAAUUUUUCAAUUUAAAAUAAGUUUUCUAUUACUGAUUUUUCUAUUUACCAAAUAAUUCAUUCAAUAGUAUUGCUAAUAUUUUUAGUUUGCUACAGUUAUAUAAAGCGCGAUUCAAACUCGUGUCUCAUAACGUCAUUCUCUUAUGAUUAUAAGAUUAGCAAUAGUAAAUUAUUAUUAUUUUUAUUAUUAUGAUGGAAAUGACAGAUGCCACAUGAGGUUAUGACAAAAGACACAACUACCCACUGUUAGCGAUGCAAACGAGGCAGAUCCGGGGGUCGGAGGGUUCUCCCACCUCCCGCUCCAUUUCUCGUCAGAAUAGGAUGGAUUCGGGACUGGUUAUUUUUUAUUUUAUUUUUUGGUUUCACUUACCGUCCUAUUCGGAGCGGGUUAGAGUGGGAGGAGAUUUUUGGUGGAUUUUUAUAUGAAUCGGGACGGAUUGAAGGAAUAAAAAAAAGGUCACCCGCUUCUUGUUCCAUUUAACUUGGCGGAUCGGAACAGAUUAUAUUUUUUUUAUAUUUUUUGUUCCCACCUACCAUCCCAUUCGGGCCGGAUCGGGUGGGAGCUUUCCCAACCCGGAUCCAUUUGCAUCCCUACCCACUGUAGCUAACGCAAGGUCCACCCCGUACACGUGUCGCCACGUGAAAUGAUGGCCCCGUGUUCUUUUAAAUCAGGUUGAUGAUGCAACAUGAGCCGUUGGAUCGUCGGGACGUCACGUGCACGUAACCGUCCAAGGCGCCAACAAACCCACGUGAACGCGUAAAGGCGCGAAGAGACCGAAUCCGACAACGCCGAACACGGGUUCGAACUCGAACCCGCGUCGCGCUCGGGUUUGGCCCCUCGUCCAAGUGCGCAUGUCGAUACGUGUAACCACAGUACGGCACUACAUAUUUACAUAUGGACACCAACGGGUCACUUUUUUUAAAAAAAAAAUUCAAAUAUCACUCGUACGAUUUCACAUUUUUUUUAUUUUAAUAUUCUAUAAUUUAAAAUAUAUCAAUUUAGUAUUCCAUAAUUUUUUUAUUAUUUUUUUUUACUAUUUUUAUUAAAUUAGUGGCAAAGUUAAAACUAAAAAAUAUUAAAGUGAAUAUUCGAUAAAUUUAGAUGGAUAUUCAAAAUUUUUUGUAUAUAAUUUAACGAAAUAAUAAGGAAGGAGCUGACGGAAAGAAAAAAAAUAAAACUAUAGGAUAAUAAAUUGACAUAUUUUAAACCACAGAAUACUAAAAUAAAAAAAUACGAAAUCACAGAGAUGGCAAUUGAAGUAUUUUUUUUUUUUACACCUCUUCGACAGGAUAUUAGCCGUUAGAUUUCUGGAUAAACUUUAAUUUGCUUAUCUGUGUAUUAGCCUACUUUCAUUUUAACACCUUGUACCGUAAAGUAAAUUUUUGGUCCAUAUCUUAGUUUCUUUUUGUAUAGAAAAAUACCUCAACUUAUAUUUUGUACUUUGCUAUUAACUCAAAUUAGUGUAAAAUUUAAAAAAAUGUUAAUUUCACCUGAAGAAUUUAAUAGGAAUAGAUUUGAUAUACUUAAAGUAGUAGAAUCAUAUAAAUUGAAUAAAAUUAUUCAAUAUUAGUAAAGUGGAGAUCUCGCGCUUUAUCUAAUUUUAUUUAUUUUUUAGCUUACGUACAAAUUAGAUAAACAUUGAGAUAUAGAAUAAUGUGAUGCGACAACUCAUUUUAAUCAAGCGUCGCAACCAAACUCACCAUUUAUUCAAAAAUUUUGAAUAUAUUUAAUGAGACAAUAACAAAGUACAGAAUGAUAAUUAACAUAAUGAUUUUAAUAUAAGAAAGUAAUUGUGACAUAAUUAAGUUAAAUUGUAAAGGGGCUUUUGUUAUUUAGCCAUAGCCAAACUUUUUUCAGUUACUCAACCACCAGAUUAAUCUAUUCCUGUUUAAAAUUACAAGUACAAUUAUAUAAUACCUAUGCUUAAUUUUAUGUAGAAGAAUUAAGGAGUGCUCUUUUCUUUUUUUUAGUUUCUAUAAUCUUUUUUUAACUAUUUUUUUUUAAAAAAAAAACCGUUAAAACAUUUGUUGCGAUAGUAUAAGUCAUAUNUUGACUCAAUUUUUCGCGAAUAUACAAGUUUAAUUUCUUGUUUUAUAUAUAUAUAUAUCACUGUAUGGAGUGUACGCUUAGCAUUUAUCUUAAUUUUUUUCAGUACAGAUGAAUUAAUAUAUCCCUUCCUAUAACAUAUUCUCUUUACAGCUUGAUAAAAAGACAAGCAUUACUAUAUAUAUAUAUAAAACAAGAAAUUAAACUUGUAUAUUCGCGAAAAAUUGAGUCAACAUAGCCGAGUUUCGACUCUUUCGAGCCCACUCACUGAGAUUUCGAAGUUGAAUAGGGAGUUCAAGUGUAUAAUGUUAGAUAGAAAUAAAUGCUACAAAUUCUAAAUGAUACGUGUAUAUAGACUUAAACAAAAUUUUAUUGAUUUAAAUAGCGUACAAGGUGCGAACCUCAUUAAUUAUUCAUUCUUAUUCGCUCUCAUAACAGCCCAUUAAGAAAUUGUUUGAUUACAUGCAGCUACGUACAACUGCUCUUCAAUUCUAAUUGCGCUCGUACAUCAAAAUUUGAUAAUUUGUUUGAUACAUAUAAAUUUAGCUGCUCGAGUUAGAACUGCACGAAGAGACUCAGUUCAAACAGUCAGUGGCGGAUCUAGCUUGCGAUGAUUGAGUUGGGUCAAUUGACCCCACUUAUUCCUCCCCCCCAAAAGUCCCCAUAUUUCUAAAAGUGGGAUAAAUUUUCUAAUUAACUUUAUUUUAUUAACUAAUUAAUCCUAUUUUAUUUUAAUAAAUAAGUAAAGACCAUCUUUAAUUUUCUCUUAUCAUGUGGCAUCAUUUUAAAUCUUAUAAAUUUAAAUCCCAAUUUAAAAAAUCACCUAUUAGAAUAUAAAAAAAUAUUUUACACUUCUUUCAAAAUAAUAGUGGUUCUGGUGAAAAAAAUAAUCCUAUGAUCUAAUUAUGAUACCAUCAUAUCUCAUUUUCAAAAUAUAAAAGUAAGUUGAAAACAAUUAUAAUUCAAAAUGAUACAUGUUUUUUUCUUACACAACAUUUAUUGGCAAUUAUAUUUAAUAAAUUUUUUUAUUUUUUUAUAUUUAUUUUUUAUUUUAUAUUUGACUCUUUUUAAAAAAAUUUAGAUCCGUCACUGUUAGUGAAUGGUAGCAUGCCCAAUUUACCAGCAGUUCAACUACAACGGUUGGAAAGAGUAACAUGAAAAAAAAAAAAAGUUAUCUUUCUAGAAACCCUUUAAAUAGAAAAUAUAUAUUUUUCCUACAUUAAAGAUAAUCUCAUCAUUCUAUACAUAAAAUGAUAAAAUUUUAUAAAUACAUCUCUCAAUUACAUAACACAAAUAAAUUACGAAAAAUACUACCAGUACACCCAAAAGGGUUGUAAAAUCUUAUAUCCUCGCAUCCUGUGGUUCACCCUUCCCUUUUGAUUUUUAGUAUUUAAAAAAAUUUGACCUUUUUGCAAAAUAAAUUAUAAUAGUUUUACUUUUUUCUAAAAAAGUGGGCUAUUGUUUUGCUUUUGCAUAUUUGGACCCAAAAAGUUGAAAAUUGGCCGAAAUACUUAUAUACCUUAAAAGCUCCGUCUCUCCUUCCUCUGCUCCCUCAUCGGCCAUUUCUCCACCACGGGAAAGAACCUCGAGUGCUGAUCACACCUCCACACUAACUCCUUCGUCGCGUCCGUAUUGUGAACAUCUCACGAGUGAGAGGAACACAAUGAUCUUGAGUAAUUCGUCAUUGUGGCUGGUUCACUACAACAGAAUUAGAUUAUAGGGACAUAUGUUUGGGACACUUUUGUAUAAGUGUUUCAUUUAUGCCGAAACUUAAAAAAAAAAAUCUUCUAAUGCCUAAAUAUAAAGCCCAAUCUAACCAAAAAUAAAAGAUUAUCUACUCAACUCACCCCACCCAGCCCAUUCGGUCCGAUUACAAAUAGAAAAGAAAAAAAAUAUAUCGAUUACUAUCUCCUCUUCUCCUCUUACUCAAUCCACUGAAAUACUAGACGAAGAGCCCUUCCCUCUCCUCCUCCUCCGCCACCGCAGCCAAUGAGGUAGAGUUCCGGCAAUUGCUAAAUGCUUAAAUAAGUGUUGGUAAAUUAGCAGCACUUUUCUUAGGUUAUAGCGACAUUCUUUAACUGUCACUAUAUACCUAGCGACCCCACAUAUAGCAACACUUUUUAAAAGUGUCGGUAAUUUAGCCAGCAACACUUUUUUUGACCUAUACUGACAUUUAAAAGUGUCGCUAUAGACUGUUUUUGUUGCAGUGCUUGGCGCUUCGCCAGAGAUGAAGAUGAAGGUGAUAGAGUAGGAGAGCGAUGAUCUCUAAUCAAAAAAACUUCUGAAGCAUGUUUGCGUCGACAAGGUGCUCGCCGUAGUUAGGGAAAAAAUCUAACGGACGACACGAUGUUGCACAUUUAUUAAAAUGUUGCAUUAUUCCAACAUAUGUUGCAUUAUAUAACAAGAAAAUUUCACAACUUUACAAUUUAAUAUACCUAUCAAAUAGGGCAAUAUUUUUUUUAAAAUAGUGUGAUGUCAUGUCGUCCGACAAAUUUUUCUCCCUCACUGCCACCACCACUUUGCCACCGCGGCCACCCUCAUGAACAUGCUUCAGGAGCAUUUUCGACCAGUGAUUAUCACCCGCCUCCUCUACCACUUUCAUCUUCAUCUCCAGAAAUACUCCGAGCUAUGCCACUCUCAUCUUUACUGUGGCGACUUCACUGGAGAUCGCCAAGAACGGCCAUGAGCACGACCAUGAGCUACUCAAGUUUCACCAUUAUUCCUUCGUCGCUCGUGCGCGAGGUAGGGGAGGAGCGUGGCGACGAUGUGGGGGCAAUGGAGGAGUGAAUGAAGCAAGAGAGAGAGAGAGAGAGAACAAAGGUAUUUUGGUUAUUUUAAAAAAAUUCACGCUGAAUCUGAGAAAAUAAUAAAAUGGAUGACUUUUGCAAAAUCACAAAGCUAAUAGGACUUUUUAUGCAAGGCCAGCAAAUUUAGACCCUUCGAUUAAUUUGAAGGGUGUAUGAUGCACGCCCCUAAUAGGGUGUACAAGCAGCACUCCUCAUAAAUUAUUGGUAAAAAUAUAGAGAACUUACCUGAACUACAGAGCAUAUUGAAUCGGCUACCUAAUCUUUAUAAUUUUAAUUUUAUUAUUUAAUCUUUUAAUUUAUUUGAUUUGAGUUAGCAAAUACACUACGACUACAAAUUUUAAAUAUGUCAUUUAUUUUUACAAGUUUAGUUAGCAUACUUCAUGCAAUUCUCGCAGCUAUAAAUAAAUUUAUUAAAGAUUGAUAAUCUAACUUGAAUUUUUAAGUCAAAGUAUCGUUAACCGACUCAAAUCAAACAAAUCAAAAUUUUGUAUAGUAAAAUUAAAAUUUGAAAGAUUUAGUAGCAACUUAAAAAUGGUCUAAAAAUAACUCAUAGCUCAUGUAAAUUCUCCAUCUAAUCACAAAAAAUAUAUAUUAAAUCUAAAUAAACUGUACUUACAACUACAUCCAAUGUAUCCAAUUAAUUACAACUAAAUCUAAUGGGAUAAUUUUAGGUAAACGUCUUAAUUGGGCACGCGUCUAAUUACGAAUUUAGUUCAACGGUAAAAAAAAAAAAAGAAAAAAAAGAAAAAAAAGAAAAGAUUUUGUGGGCCCAGUGCUGUACAAUGGCGGAUGCGCGAGCACCUGCUUUGCCGGUGGUUUGGGGGACAACAACGUGCGUGGCGGCUGAGGGAUUGACACGUGGAUUCCCGCGCCGUUACACAAAGUGCGGGAACAGUAGUUGAGAUGUGCAAUGGUCAACUACUCAAGCUACUUUUAAGCAACGGUAUAUGCCAAACCAUUACUUUAUUAAUUAAUAGUUAUUAUAAUGUUGAUAACAUAUAAUAUCCAAUUGUAACACGCAAUUAUGGCCGUAGCAAUACACAUUAAAAAGCCUUUUACUUAUUUACCCCUCACUAGUAUUCAAUAUUCUUCUAUGUUUCGGAUCUCAUUAGUAAAUUUUAAAAAUUUGAAAAUUUUUAAAGAAAUAUUUGAAAAUCAAUAUAUAAAGGCAUUUUGGUCGACCAGAAAUAUAUUAGAUAUUGUAGAAAGUUUUGAAAAGUAUAUUGGAUUAAAUUAUAGUUUUAAAGCUUUUAGAAGUAAAUAUGGUCGUCUACUUUCAUGUUACUUCUAAAGAUAAGGGCACAUUUGAACCGACGAUUGGCAGCCCCAGAUGUCAUCUAGACUAUCUAAAUUCAGCAGGAAUCGAAUUUCAUGAGUUUUCGACGUCAUUUGUGUAAUAUUCAGAUAGUUCUAAUAAUUUUGAUAAUCUUUAAUAACUAAUAUAAAGUGAAUUCUAGUUCUUGUGAUCAGAGUAACUCAUGAGAUGAGUUGGCUUUUAAGAAUUCAUAUAUAUUAAUUGAGAGGAAUUCACACUUCGUUCGUGGCUUUUAUGAAUUCAAAUAUAUUCUAGUUUUAGUCUAUCAAGUAAGAGCAUAUAUAACUACUUUACUUUAGGUAUCAUUUUUGUUUUUUGAAAUUUGUGCAGUAAUUAUUAAAUUAUAGAUCGAUGGUGUGCGUAACAUUGCGAUUAACAAAAUGGGAAAAAUUCGGAGGGCUUGGUGGUUGGUAUCCGAGACCCAAGUUCGAAUCCUAGUUGAUUCACAUUUCUAGCUAAGUUUAUUUCUAAAUGAAAUAAACGAAACGGAUAGCGUGCGCUACUUAUCUCAAAAAAAAAAAAAAAAGACAAAACGGGAAAAGUUUGUGUAUUGUUCAAAUUUUUGGUUUAAUAAUAUGAUAAAAAAAAUUAAUUACACUAGAAGAAACAAGAAUGUUAAAACGUUUUAGAUUUUUUGCGAAUUUUCCUUGUUUUAGGUGAAUAAGCAUUCAUGUGGGAUUUAAAAAAACUGGAUUUGAACCUCACCAUGGACUCUUAGGCCCUGUUUGUUCGGGUAUAAAUUAAGCAUGGAUAAUUAAAGCUAUCCCUGCUAUACUGCCAAAUAUGGUAUUUUUUUGGCCUGAAUAUUUUAUUUCGAUCCGAUCAAAUGUUAUUAUUCUCUAUUAUUCCAGAAUAACUUAGGAUAAACUAUUCCAUCCUUCAAGUAGAAUAGUGUUAUUCGAAGUUUAAAUUGCAGUUUUUAUUAAUUAUUCAUGAGAAUAACAGCAUUACAAAUUAAUCAAACACGAUUUUACUUUACUCAUGACUAUCCCAAAAUAACAAGCUAUUCCAGAGAUAAAAAAAAUUUGUCUCAAUGUUUAUUAUUCCCAACCAAACUGAGCCUUAAUUAAAGGCUUCAUGUUGAUUUUUAGAUUAUGAAGCACUGUUGAUGUACAUGAUUCUUUUUUAAAAAAAUUUAUUGUGAUUCAACAAUGGAAGAAAUAUGAUUGUAAUUUAUCCUACCUUUUCGACUCUUCAGUUUGAAAAGCAAACUUAGAGCUAUAAAUUAUAUAUUUCUUGAUGUAAGUGUAAUACCGAUCAUCUACGUACGUAUACAUAUACGUUCGUACGUACGUAUACAUAUACGUUCGUACGUACGGCUAUGAGAGAUGUGCUAUGAUCAGCUAACAUGGUCAAACAACAUGCCUCAACCAUCAUGACCAAUUUUUUCCAUCAUUUCUCCCAAGUUAUCACUAAGUGUUAUAAUGAUAGGUAACAUAUGUAUAAACACUCAUUUAGUGUAGCAUGUACAAACACUUUUUCUGAGAUACACUAAAAAUAUUAUGGUAUAACAUUGCUUUGGUGAUUUGAAUUCAAUAAAAAGCACACAAAAGAUUAUUAAAAACAUGUCGUAUUAAGCCAAGCAUUCUCCUGCUCUAAAUUUGUGAGACAAGAUCAUUUAGAACCUGUUUAGUUUUGAGGAUUUACCAAAAUGUUUUUUUUUUUUUUUGAGAGAUAGAUAGCAUGCUACCCGCUUCGUUUAUUUCAUUUAGAAAUAAAUUUAGCUAGAAAUGUGUGAAUCAACUAGAAUUCAAACUUGGGACCUCAAGUCCCAACCACCAAACCUUCGGGAAUCAACUAGGAUUCGAACGAGGAUUCGCCAAAAUGUUACUAAAUCAAAAGAGUUGAAAAAAAGUAUAUUGGAAGAUGCUCCGUUUUUCAAUAGGACUAAGAAAAAUUAUACUGCAUGUAAUCCAAUCACUUCAAUCUUUUUGCGUAAUAUCUGUAAUAUUCUUCCAUUGCGCGCACCUUAAUUCUCAUCAUGUGUAAUGCAUUCUGCUUAUAAUUCCAAACCCGUGGUUUCCUCAAGUUAGCUUUUUAGGUUGGUUGGGGAAUGGUGAACAUGAAAGAGACGCUGCUUAAAUUUCGCUAAAUUGCUUAAUAUUUGCUAAUUGUUUGGUUGCAUUCAUGGGGGCAUGCAUGUGAGGGGUUGUGGUUUGCAUGAUUUUAGCUUAAGCCCUAAGUUUUAUUUUCUAGCUACCACCUUGGGCCAUGCAUGCACGUGCGCCGACCUUUACGUGCAUGGGUAAAAUUAGAAUGGUUGUAAUAUACAUAUGUUUAGACCCACACACAAAGGUUCUUGAAUAUAUACUCUCUGUCUCUCUCUCUAGAUGUUUCUUUCUCUCCCUCUCUCCCUCUCUCUCUCUCUCUCUCUCUCUCUCUCUCUCUCUCUCUCUCUCUCAUAUGAUGCCCAGGUUUAAGCAUGUUUGGGCUUUUUGAGAGAUCAUUGAGUGUUUUAGAUAAAGCUUUGUUUCGCUUUCCCUUGAGUAUACAUUGUGAUUCUGGGUGGCAUGCAUUAUGAUAGGGUCAGCUUUGCUAUAUUUCACUCUUUUUGGGGCUCUUAAAUGGAGGAGUUUUUAUGAUUAGGAAAAUGGGGAGAAAUUAACUGGUCCACAAGAUGGAUGCAUAUAUAUAAUGUUUGUUUUACAAAGACCCAAAUAUAAGAAAGGAUAGAAAGAGUGUGGUAGAAUGUGGCAUUUUUUUUGGGUUAAUUUCAUACAGUGUAUAUAUCGAAUAACAAAUAUAUCUCUAUAAAGUUCAACUUUUCAUAUUAUUCUUAUAAAGGUUCAGUAAUUUUCAUAUUUGCCCCUCCGGUUUGUUACCAUUAGAGCAUUGUUUAUUUUCUUACAGAAGAUAAGUGAAGUGAUAUUUUUGUUAUCACAAAUAUCUCUCCGGAAGUUCCAACUGUUAGAAUUAUGCAGAAAUAUCUUUUCAAAAAUCUCCAACGUUCAUCUUUUUCCUUUCUACCAUCACAGUUAAUAUAAGAGGGAUAAAAAGUUUAAUUUACCUCAUUCACUAAUAAGAGUUAAGUAUUUUAUCUAUGGUUAACUAUAUUUUACUAAUAGAUCCUAAAAGCAAGGGUAUAUUUAAAAACGUCAUAGCUUUUAUAGAGAUAAACAUGAAAAGUUGAACUUUAUAAGAAUAUAUCUGCUAUUCGAUUUGUUUACAAAGAGCUUUAUGUAAUUAACCCGUUGUUUUAAUCCCAUUUUACAAAUAAUUCCACAAAGAUUUGAUUUUUAUUAACCAGUUUGGAAUAGCCAUGUACAGGAGGCAGGUCAGUGCUGUGUCGGAUUCUAUAUAUAUAUCACGAAUAUUUUUAUAAAUCUCGCGUGUCCGUGUCAGACUCAUGUCUAACACAGACAUGCCAUGGACGCGCGUUCGACACAAUUUCAUGGCACAUCCAAUUAAAAAUAUAUAUACUUUUUAUUUUAUUUUUUAAUGCAUAUAUAAUAUUAGAUGAUAAAUAAUUUGGCUUUUUGACGGAUGCAUAUAAAUUUUUUUGAAUAAUGUAAAUAAAUUAUAUAUGGUGGAGAAUUUUUUUUUAAAAAAUAUAUAAACUAUGAAUGAGAAUUUCAUUAACUUUCAUUCCCAUGAAAAAUAUAACAAUAUUUUAACCAAAUUAAUAUUUUAUAUAUAAUAAAUAUAUAUUAUAAUAUAAAUAUUAUUAUAUUUUAUUAGUUGUGUCCAUUUUAUGUCUGUGUCCUAACUUUUUAGAAGUUGUCAAGUCGCCGUGUCUUGGUCAUGUUGUGUCCCCCUAUUCCGCAUUCGUGUCCGUGUUCGUGUCCGUGAUGCCUAGAUAGGGAUGAACACAUGUGCGGAACUUGAUUUGAGAGAUUUCGUGAAUUGAACUAGUCAGAUCAAACCAAAUUAUAAACUAGUUGGUAAGAAAAGGAAUCUUUCAAUUUAGGUCCAACCAUGAGAAUGGCCUAACAUUGAUUUUGUGCUCAUGUAGUUUGGAAUUUAAUUGUCUUCUUAGAUAAGAUCAGAUGACUUAUUUUGUUUUUAAUUAAUGAUAAUGUCUUACACUCUAUAUAUAUAUAUAUAUAUAUAUAUAUAUAUAUAUAUAUAUAUAAGGUUGAUAUGAUGGUGGUAGGUGGUGGUAGGUGGAAUAGUGUUUGAUCCAAGGACUAUUAGUAAUCAAAAAGUAGAUCCAACGGCUAAAAACACACAAGUAUCAUACUUGGGUGAUACUUGUAAAAGUAUUCUAGCCCUACUCUAUAUAUAUAUAUAUAUAUAUAUGUGUGUGUGUGUGUGUGUGUGUGUGUGUGUGUGUGUUAAUCAACAUAAAUUUUGUGUGUGUGUGUGUGUGUGUGUGUGUGUGUGUUAAUCAACAUAAAUUUUGUGUGUGUGUGUGUGUGUGUGUGUGUGUGUGUUAAUCAACAUAAAUUUUGUGUGUGUGUGUGUGUGUGUGUGUGUGUGUGUUAAUCAACAUAAAUUUUGUGUGUGUGUGUGUGUGUGUGUGUGUGUGUGUUAAUCAACAUAAAUUUUGUGUGUGUGUGUGUGUGUGUGUGUGUGUGUGUUAAUCAACAUAAAUUUUGUGUGUGUGUGUGUGUGUGUGUGUGUGUGUGUUAAUCAACAUAAAUUUUGUGUGUGUGUGUGUGUGUGUGUGUGUGUGUGUUAAUCAACAUAAAUUUUUUGUGUGUGUGUGUGUGUGUGUGUGUGUGUGUGUGUGUGUGUGUUAAUCAACAUAAAUUUUGAUAAUAUAAGUUACAUAUAAUA
rnacentral:lncRNA from 1 species